CUUUACUUUCGAGAGUUACAUACAUUCUCCAAUUGAUUGCACUACGCACAAUACCUCAUACCGCCACUGUACCAGCAAGUCGCCUACAAUAGCGUUCUUUUCAUUAGGAGAGUGCAAAGCAGAAGGCACACUCUCACUUUGUUCUAGUAAGAUAGGGAGACGAAGACAAGCAGAAACCGUACAUCACCGUUUUCAAUAGAAGAGGGGGGACGGCUACAGCAGCCAAAACUUCUUUGCAAGUGUCGAGAGAGACGAAAACGAGCAGAAACCUUCGUUAUAUUUGGAGAGCGCAAAGAAGAACGCCAAAAACCUUCGUUGCAUUUGGAGAGAGAAACGACUACGUGCAGAAACGAACGCGCCAAUUUACAGCAAGAGCGAGCAAUUAUGAAGCAAAGAGGAGGAGAAGGAGAGCGAGAAAUGGGAGAUCAUUUCGCUGCCCUACGCAUCUGUACCAGCAGCGGUCAAUUUUCAAUGUCAGUCACACAUCAGUCAGCGCAGCAGAGGUUAAUUUUAGUAAAAGUGCGAAAAAAGUGAAAAUUGUGCAGUGAAGUGAGUGUAGUGAUGUGCAGUGUAAGGAUGUGCAGUGUACUGAUGUGCAGUGAUGUGAUUAAAAAAUUAAAAAAUUAUAAAUUUAUAGUGAAAAGUAAAAAAGCUGCUAGUGCGGGUGCGGACCAUGUGCCGAAUAUGCAAAAGUGUGUGUGCCAACAGAUCAAUGCAAAUGUGUGAGAUAAUUAAUACAUAUAUGUAUUAAUAAAGAGCAUAUUCAAUUUUUUUCUUGUGCAAGCGCAGCUGAAAUCCACCGGCACAUGGAUCCGUUAUGUCUGAAAUUGCCAAAAAUGUGUGUGUGUAGUGAAGUGUGGUGUAGUGCAGUGUAGUGAUAAAACAAUAAAAAGUAUCCCAACAGCCAGGCGUAAAAGUGUUUUAUAGUGAAAAGUGUAAAAGCUGCUAGUGCGGGUGCGGACCAUGUGCCGAAUAUGCAAAAGUGUGUGUGCCAACAGAUCAAUGAAAGUGUGUGUUAAAUCAAAUAUAUCAAUAAUGAGCAUAUUCAAUUUUUUUCUUGUGCAAAGCGCAGCUAAAAUUUAGCGGCACAUGGUUCCGUUCUAUCUGUAGAUGUCUCAGAUGUGUUCGUUUAUCAUAUUUGCGGUGUGAGAGUGUGUGAGUGAUAGAACGCAAAAGCAGUAGCAAAACGCGCUCUCCAAGCCCAAAGAGCGGAGCAGAGGAGGAGAGGAGCAAGCAAUGCUCUCGUUCUCAAAGUCUCGACAAUGUGAGGUGAUGCUUUCCAAUUGCCCGAAGAUGUUACGCUCUCCUGGUUGCUUUGUGCACAACUCCUUCAGCAAAAGAUGCGUGUGUCGUGGGAGUGCGCCCUGUGAUGCUUCCACCUUAUAAUUAUUCAUCCCAAAAUUGUGCUCUUGUUGGAAAUGGCACUAGGCAAAUGUUCUGCUGGAAGACAAAUAAACGGUACAAAUUCGCAAGGGCAUAAGUCACGACAAUGUGAGGUGACGCUAUACGAUUGUCCGAAGAUGUUACGCUCUCUCGUUUGCUGUGUGCACACCACUUCAACAGAAGAUGCGUUUGUCGUGGGAGUGCGCCCUGUGAUGCCUCACCUUAUAAUUAUCCAUCCCAAACUUGUGCUCUUAUUGUAAAUGGCACUAGGCAAAUGUUCUGCUGGAUGAAAAAUGAACGGUACAAGUUCGCAAGGGCAUAAGUCACGUCAAUGUGAGGUGAUGCUAUACGAUUGCCCAAAGAUGUUACGCUCUCUCGUUUGCUGUGUGCACACCACUUCAACAGAAGAUGCGUGUGUCGUGGGAGUGCGCCCUGUGAUGCCUCACCUUAUAAUUAUCCAUCACAAACUUGUGCUCUUAUUGUAAAUGGCACUAGGCAAAUGUUCUGCUGGAUGAAAAAUGAACGGUACAAGUUCGCAAGGGCAUAAGUCACGACAAUGUGAGGUGACGCUAUACGAUUGCCCGAAGAUGUUACGCUCUCUCGUUUGCUGUGUGUACACCACUUCAACAGAAGAUGCGUGUGUCGUGGGAGUGCGCCCUGUGAUGCCUCACCUUAUAAUUAUCCAUCCCAAACUUGUGCUCUUAUUGUAAAUGGCACUAGGCAAAUGUUCUGCUGGAUGAAAAAUGAACGGUACAAGUUCGCUGGGGAAUAAGAAAAAUGUUUACGCAAUUGAUGGCCAAGAAGUUUAUGCUGGAAAAUGCAAGUUUUGCUUAAGCGGAAAAAUGUUUACAGAAAUCCAAAAGAAUAUUCUGCAGUCUUCAGUUAACCGGACUUCCAUCAAAAUAUACAACUUAAAAAAGAGACCUUUGACCAUGGGACAUACAAAAAGUAAAUUAAAUUUAUCGGGAAAAUCCAGCCAGCGAAGUGGAAAACCAAGUAUAAUGAAUGGAUUUUGGUGCUACAGAAUUAAGAGCUUGCUGGGCUGGAACUGGCUGGACUGUUUAGAGGCCUACGAAUGCGCUAUAGCUGAGUGGGCCUAAAGGGUGCCACGGGAAGAAAGAAAACCAGAUGGAGCAGAGUAGGAGGAGUUGCCUGAUUGAAGUUCAGCCAAAACAGAUGGAAGUCGUUCCAAAAACUAAGGCUAUUUAGCAGAGAAUCAAUGCGGAUUAAAAGACCGUUUGCCACUUCUGCAAAUGCCACAAAAUCAGGAUCGGAACGAGGAGAUGGUCCAGGAUGCAUUUAGCUGCACCGUUGAGCGGCACUUCGAGGACGCUCAGUAUCUGAAAAUUAGCUGCCGUGUGCAGCAGCCGAGCCUUGUGUCCACUGACUACAGACGUAAAUUAAUUUUCAUGGUACCGACUGUCCCGAAACAUCUGCGGCGUCAAUGGAACCUCAAAGUGCCCUUCGAUGCGAUAGUCUGACCCAAAGAGCUGACAGCAAAAUCACGCAAAUAAAUUCAACAAAUUUAUAUAAAAUAAAUCCAUAGAAACAAAUAGGGAAGCAUUGGCUUAGUACUCAAUUCUUUCAAGUUCUUUACCCAAAAUGUCUCAAAAUACACGUACUUCAGCGGUGUGGAUGGCUAUAAUGGCCGCCUGCAUAACUAGUCUCCUGAUACAGUUUCAAUUUCAUUGCCAGCCACCUUAUAGAAGCCGCUGUCUGGCCCAUAAAUUGGAAGACAAAUUUCGAGAGUACCAGCAGCGAGUGUAUCGUGAUGCGAAAAAU